AGAGUUUGAUCAUGGCUCAGGACGAACGCUGGCGGCGUGCCUAAUACAUGCAAGUCGAGCGAAUCUUGAGGAGCUUGCUCCUUAAGGUUAGCGGCGGACGGGUGAGUAACACGUGGGCAACCUGCCUGUAAGACUGGGAUAACACCGGGAAACCGGUGCUAAUACCGGAUAAUUCUUCACCUCUCAUGAGGUGAAGCUGAAAGUCGGUUUCGGCUGACACUUACAGAUGGGCCCGCGGCGCAUUAGCUAGUUGGUGAGGUAACGGCUCACCAAGGCGACGAUGCGUAGCCGACCUGAGAGGGUGAUCGGCCACACUGGGACUGAGACACGGCCCAGACUCCUACGUGAGGCAGCAGUAGGGAAUCUUCCGCAAUGGACGAAAGUCUGACGGAGCAACGCCGCGUGAGUGAUGAAGGCCUUCGGGUCGUAAAACUCUGUUGUUAGGGAAGAACAAGUGCCGGAGUAACUGCCGGUACCUUGACGGUACCUAACCAGAAAGCCACGGCUAACUACGUGCCAGCAGCCGCGGUAAUACGUAGGUGGCAAGCGUUGUCCGGGAUUAUUGGGCGUAAAGCGCGCGCAGGCGGUCCUUUAAGUCUGAUGUGAAAGCCCACGGCUCAACCGUGGAGGGUCAUUGGAAACUGGGGGACUUGAGUGCAGAAGAGGAAAGCGGAAUUCCGCGUGUAGCGGUGAAAUGCGUAGAGAUGUGGAGGAACACCAGUGGCGAAGGCGGCUUUCUGGUCUGUAACUGACGCUGAGGCGCGAAAGCGUGGGGAGCAAACAGGAUUAGAUACCCUGGUAGUCCACGCCGUAAACGAUGAGUGCUAAGUGUUAGAGGGUUUCCGCCCUUUAGUGCUGCAGCUAACGCAUUAAGCACUCCGCCUGGGGAGUACGGCCGCAAGGCUGAAACUCAAAGGAAUUGACGG
rnacentral:rRNA from 1 species